UACUAGCAUGAGAGUUGACCACAAGGUGUCAUAAAAUUUCACUGUUUCUAAAAUGGUGUAUGGCUCUACGCAUGCGUUAAAACUUAAGUAAACACUGUAUGCGAGCUUCCUGCAUGGGAGGUUCUUCUGCACGAGCAUUGUAUAUAAAUCCCCAAACAGAUUUAAACCAGUUUGUUACAGAUGUAUAACAAAUGUGUUACAUUUAUCCAGUGUAGAUUGGGCACAGAUGUGAAAACAUGACACAGUUAUAAGUUACAUCUUUGCAUGAAGGUAUGCGUUUCUUUUUUCUUCUGAAAGGCUCCUGAUGGGCAGAAAGAUCACUACAGCAAAAGAUGGCAUUGAGGCAAUGGAUCUGCUGCAUGCUAUGGGUCCUGACACUGUGGUCAUCACCAGCUCAGACCUGCUCUCUCCUUUGGGGGAUCAGUAUCUAGUGGCCCUUGGGAGCAAAAACACAGAAAGCCUGUGAGAAGACGGUUUCUGUGAUGCAGCAUGUUAUUAAGAGGACUAUUAUUUACGCCAAGAAUGCAGCUGGUCCUGACCAGAGACCGAGUCCUGCACAACUGGAACUGAGAAUGGUACAAAGUAAAGCAGACAUUGAGGAUCCAGCCAUAACGGUUAAUGCUGUGGUGUUGUAGGAAUGAAUGACUGAACGACUGUGACUAACACACACACGUAAAAUGACAAGCCACACAGUUAAUGACCAGAUACUAACUAAAGCCAUGUUGGCGUCUGUGUUUGACUUCAGUAACAGUACUGAUAAGGAUAGAACUGUGUCGCAUUGUGAGUAAAAGGAAGUACUGAUGUAUGGAAGCAAAUCAGUUUCAUUAAUAAUUCACACCAGACACAAUGCACACAUGCAAAUCUCAGUUCACAUGUGUGAAACCUAUCACACGCAUCACAUUACUAGCACAGAAGUAUCAUAUAUUUGAUGACAGUCAGGCUUACCAAUUGGAAUACAACAUGAAUUGUGAAUAAUGUGCCUGAACACAUCACAGUCACUAUUCAUGAAUACCAUUAUAACUUAUAUAUUGUAUCCCGGUGAUUAAUUUUACCAUUCGAUAUGAAUUAUGUAAUGUUUCUCUAAUGAUGGUAUUUUAAUUAUUUGAAAAAUAUCAUAUUAAGGGUCUUAGUUUAUCAAACUGAUCAUCAGCCAUAGUGUCUGGAAACUUUUUGUCUUAUCUGGUAAAUGUUGCACACAUCCACCGACAUGCACAUCCAACUUGUGCAACCUUCUUUACUCCACACUGCACAUAGAAUCUCGCUUCUCUGAGUUCUUGCCCAUAAAUUUGGCAGUUGGUCCACAAUUUAGUAAUGCUGUAUAAUCCACUUUACCAUAAAUCUUUCCUUUUAAUGCUUUUAAAGACGUUCUGCAUUUGUUGAUGCCAGAU